GACGAACGCUGGCGGCGUGCUUAACACAUGCAAGUCGAACGGAAAGGCCCUGCUUGCAGGGUACUCGAGUGGCGAACGGGUGAGUAACACGUGGGUGAUCUGCCCUGCACUUCGGGAUAAGCUUGGGAAACUGGGUCUAAUACCGGAUAGGAGCCAUCUUUAGUGUGGUGGUUGGAAAGUUUUUUCGGUGUAGGAUGAGCUCGCGGCCUAUCAGCUUGUUGGUGGGGUAAUGGCCUACCAAGGCGGCGACGGGUAGCCGGCCUGAGAGGGUGUACGGCCACAUUGGGACUGGGAUACGGCCCAGACUCCUACGGGAGGCAGCAGUGGGGAAUAUUGCACAAUGGGCGCAAGCCUGAUGCAGCGACGCCGCGUGGGGAUGAAGGCCUUCGGGUUGUAAACUCCUUUCGCUAGGGACGAAGCUUUUUGUGACGGUACCUAGAUAAGAAGCACCGGCUAACUACGUG
rnacentral:rRNA from 1 species